GCCUUACACAUGCAAGUCGAACGGCAGCAUGAUCUAGCUUGCUAGAUUGAUGGCGAGUGGCGAACGGGUGAGUAAUACAUCGGAACGUGCCCUGUAGUGGGGGAUAACUAGUCGAAAGAUUAGCUAAUACCGCAUACGACCUGAGGGUGAAAGUGGGGGACCGCAAGGCCUCAUGCUAUAGGAGCGGCCGAUGUCUGAUUAGCUAGUUGGUGGGGUAAAGGCCCACCAAGGCGACGAUCAGUAGCUGGUCUGAGAGGACGAUCAGCCACACUGGGACUGAGACACGGCCCAGACUCCUACGGGAGGCAGCAGUGGGGAAUUUUGGACAAUGGGCGAAAGCCUGAUCCAGCAAUGCCGCGUGUGUGAAGAAGGCCUUCGGGUUGUAAAGCACUUUUGUCCGGAAAGAAAUGGCUCUGGUUAAUACCUGGGGUCGAUGACGGUACCGGAAGAAUAAGGACCGGCUAACUACGUGCCAGCAGCCGCGGUAAUACGUAGGGUCCAAGCGUUAAUCGGAAUUACUGGGCGUAAAGCGUGCGCAGGCGGUUGUGCAAGACCGAUGUGAAAUCCCC
rnacentral:rRNA from 1 species